rnacentral:rRNA from 1 species
AUUUAUUCAUAAAUUAAUAAAAUUCAUAAUAAUAAAAUUAUUUCUAAUAUUUGAUCCUUUCGUACUAAAAUAUUAAUUAUUAUCUAAAGAUAGAAACCAACCUGGCUCACACCGGUUUGAACUCAGAUCAUGUAAGAUUUUAAUGAUCGAACAGAUCAAAAAUUUUAAACUUUUGCAUUUAAAUUUUAUCUUAAUCCAACAUCGAGGUCGCAAACUUUUUUUCUUAUUUGAACUAAAAAAAAAAAUUACGCUGUUAUCCCUAAGGUAAUUUUUUCUUAUAAUCAUUAUUUAUGGAUCAUUUAAUCAUAUAUUAAUGUUAACAUCAAAAAAAAAGUUUUUUAAAUUUUUCUAUCACCCCAACAAAAUAAUUCCCUUUAUUUUAAUAAAAAAAAACAUAAAAUAUUAAAAUUAAAUUAAAUUAUAAAACUCUAUAGGGUCUUCUCGUCUUUUAAAAAUAUUUUAGCUUUUUAACUAAAAAAUUAAUUUUUAAUAUUUAAAUAAAGACAGCUUAUAUUUCAUCCAAUCUUUCAUACAAGUCACCAAUUAAGAGACUAUUGAUUAUGCUACCUUUGUACAGUCAAAAUACUGCAGCCCUUUAAUUUUAUCAGUGGGCAGAUUAGACUUUAUAUUAUUUUCAAAAAGACAUGUUUUUGAUAAACAAGUGAAUAUAAAUUUUUGCCGAAUUCCUUUUUUUAAAUUUUCAUUUUUUUUUAUGAAAACUUUUCUUAAAUAUACUAAUUUUAUCAUUAUAACUAAUUCUAUAUUAUUUAAAAAUAUUUUUUCAUAAAAAAUUAAAUAUUAAAUUAAAUUUUAACUUUAAAUUAAAUUAUUUAUAAAAAAUUAUAAUUUAUUAACAAUAUAAAUUCUAAAAUUUUUAAUUAAAUUGAAAUAAUAUUAUAAAAAUUUAUUUUAAAGCUUAUCCCUUAAAAUAUUAAACAUUAAUUAACAAAAUUUUCCCUAAUAAAAAUUUUUAACUUUAAUAUUCAAAAUUAAAUUUUUUUCUGAAAAAACUAGAUAUAUUUAAAAACGAUUAACAUUUCAUUUCCAAUUAAUUAUUUAAAAUAAUUAUGCUACAUUAACUUUUUUAACUAAUUAACUCUUUCAAAUUCGAGAAAUUUUUUUCAAAAAAUUUUUUAUUAAUAAACUCUGAUACACAAGAUACAAUAAAUUAAAUUUACUAUUAAAUAAAUUUAUUUUCAAAUAUUUCAUAAUUCUUAUACAAUACUAAUUCACUAUAAAUAUUAUAAUUUUUUCUAUAAAAAAUACUUUAACCCCCAUUAAAUAUUUUCUCUUUAAAAAUUCUUCUAUUAAAUCUAAAUUAUUAAUUUUUCCCCC